AAUAACCAAAUAUGAUACUCGGGCUAAGGGUCAAGUUGGUAAUUUUUCUUACAUCUCCCCCUCUCGGAGCCCAGGUAUCAUAUACGCCCCCAANGCCCAAUA
rnacentral:ncRNA from 1 species